CCUGCAGACCCCACCACCGCCGCGAGGUUCAUCCCGCAAACCUGCCGCCACCGCGAGCUUCCUCCCGUAACCCCGCUGGCGGCCUCCUCCCGCAACCCCGUCGACGACCUCCUCUCGCAUCCCCAUUGCCGGCAACGCCAAUGUGCGUCCCUGCUGGAUCCACCCGAUCCAGUGCUGCCGUUAGCCGCCGUUAACCCCGCCAGGCUACGGCACCGGUGCCAUCCACCCCGCUAGCCACUGUCCCCGCCUUCCACCCGUGACCCCGUGCUCGGCUAGCGUUGUUCCUCGUUUUCACACCUCUGACUCACCAUGGACGGUUUCCCCUCCUCUGCUCGAACUUCUUCUCCAACCACCGUCGUGCCAUCCUGAUGUUCAUUGGUGAAGCCCCGCAGGCAUCGUGCUCUGGAUGUCAUUGACGUUCUUCACAAAAAGAAAUGGCAGGAGCUCGGAUGCAAUUCCUUGUGAUGCGAUCUCAUACAAGAAGGUGAGAACAGAACUAGGCCCCACGUGAAGAAUUGACAGACUAACUCCAAUGGAAAUCAUCAUUCUAGUAUUGUUGUUGGGCUUUUCACUUCUCUUCUCGAAUGGACUAUACAUCGGAUAGAGACUCGAAGCUUGAGGCUUAUGCAUCUGACACUUAUGCACUUCCUGAAUGCUUGUCACUCACUCCUGUUUAGAAUGCUUGUUCAUGACACAAGUUUAACCAAAAAAAUAAACAAAGAAUAUCUUCCUGAAUGCUUAUGGCAGAUUCUUGUUUGCCUAUGUUUGAAAAUUGUGUCUGCAGAGACCUAUGUGCUGCUGGUGCUCGCUACCUGCGUGAAUAUAGGAAUGAAGAAGGUCACUAUUAGGAAGGGGAGAAUAUCACAUGAUGUGCAGGAAGAAUGUCGGAGUUCAGAAUGAUGUAUGUGAUCUUUGUGCUGUUUUUGGGGUGCAUUUCCACAUGGGGAUGUGAUCUCACUUCAUCUUCCUCUGCGUGUGGUGGACGCCAUGGCGAGCUCGCCGGAUCCCUACACAAAAAUGUAGCAGUUCAAAAGAAAUUAGGAUACAAGUUCAAGGGCCAUGGUGAGUUAGAAUUUUGUGUUAGGUUUCUGUUCAUUUUCAACCUAGCGUGCCUUCUUGCCACAUCUAACAGAAGAUUCCAAUUUUCUGAACAUGUAGCAUUUGUUUCC